rnacentral:rRNA from 1 species
UACGUAGGGUGCAAGCGUUAAUCGGAAUUACUGGGCGUAAAGCGUGCGCAGGCGGUUAUGUAAGACAGGUGUGAAAUCCCCGGGCUCAACCUGGGAACUGCAUUGGAAACUGGCAAGCUCGAGUAUGGCAGAGGGGGGUGGAAUUCCGCGUGUAGCAGUGAAAUGCGUAGAUAUCUGGAGGAACACCGGUGGCGAAGGCGGCAUCCUGGACCGGCAUUGACGCUGAGGCGCGAAAGCCAGGGGAGCAAACGGG